AUGGUUCCUUUGGUCGCUCCCCUCCCGUUACUUGGAUAACUGUGGUAAUUCUAGAGCUAAUACAUGCCGACGAGCGCCGACCUCCGGGGACGCGUGCAUUUAUCAGACCAAAACCAACCCGGGCUCGCCCGGCGGCUUUGGUGACUCUAGAUAACCUCGAGCCGAUCGCACGCCCCCGUGGCGGCGACGACCCAUUCGAAUGUCUGCCCUAUCAACUUUCGAUGGUACUGUCUGUGCCUACCAUGGUGACCACGGGUAACGGGGAAUCAGGGUUCGAUUCCGGAGAGGGAGCC
rnacentral:rRNA from 1 species